GUGACUGGUUCUGUGUACCUUUCCAAACACACUGGAACACGAGAGGGCGUAGACCGUGCCCACACCAAGUGGGACAAGUUGAAUUGACCAUAAUAUAUGUAAUAUCACCGCAAGAGCGUAUUCUGUUGGGUACUGCUGAAGUUUUCUUAAACUUCUCUCAGUUUUUUUUUAGAUGGUAUUUGCAAAUUCACCGGUGUAACUUGUCGCAAAACAAUCUCAAAUAUAAGAAUUCACAAGUUAUUCAAUUCCGGGAAUAACCAAUGACUUUUUUCGGGUCAAUAAAUGCUUAGACUGUGACUUUUAGUGAUUCUAUUCAUGAUUCUGUAAUUAAUUUCUAACUGUAGAUUAAUCUGGAAACGGUAGUUGUAUUUUUUCUUAAUUCUUAAAUAUAAUCUGUAACAUUUAAUGGUUCUCUCAAUGUCCACCCCAUACAAUAUGUCGAAACUAUUGACACACUUGUUUCUGGUUGCAGUAAGGAAGCCACACUGCUUAUUGUCAACAUAUUUACCGUUUUUAGCUCCGACACUUAUCAAGCUGAUUAAGACUUCAAAUUCUUCAAAUAAGAGGCGAUGAAAUGCUUUUCCCUCCUUUUUAAAAUUAAAAUUACAGGCUUGCCUUUUGCAUCUUGAAAAUGAUCACUAAAGGAAACUGAUAAGUGAGUCAAAGUAGGUGAUAAAUCAUCCAUCAAUUUCAAACUAUUAGAAAAAGUCAGUUUCCCUCAAAAACCUUACUUUUCAAAAAACUUUAUCCUUUAUCGCAAGAGUCGUGGUUGAAGAAGAAUUUGUGUUGCGCGUUUUGCUGCGAACUUACGGAUGCGAUGUUCCCAGGCAUGCACAUUUCAACGUGCUCUCUGUACAGUGACGUCACUUGUUCUCCUUGCUCCCACUGAAGGCACGCGGCAGACGGUGUGGUUGUUCAGUCCCAGUAAACAGUGCAGAUGUAGGGCGCAUGCUAGUCAGCAAAUUGGCAUUACUACGACAAUGGCGCAACAGUCUUUAUUUUAAAUGGCCAAAUUGACGUAAACAGCCACAAAGGGUUCGGACCAGGUAAGUAUAUCCCC